CGGACGGGUGAGUAAUGUCUGGGAAACUGCCUGAUGGAGGGGGAUAACUACUGGAAACGGUGGCUAAUACCGCAUAACGUCGCAAGGCCAAAGAGGGGGACCUUCGGGCCUCUUGCCAUCGGAUGUGCCCAGAUGGGAUUAGCUAGUAGGUGGGGUAAAGGCUCACCUAGGCGACGAUCCCUAGCUGGUCUGAGAGGAUGACCAGCCACACUGGAACUGAGACACGGUCCAG
rnacentral:rRNA from 1 species